rnacentral:lncRNA from 1 species
CUCAGUGGGUAAUAGAGGAUACUAUGGUAUGGAAUGCCACCUAACUCAACAAGCUAUAUGCAUCUGAAUCUCUGCUGUGGGAAGCUGAGACCCUCCACCAUACUUGUGAAGCACUGAAAGGACCCUCCAGUGGCAAUGUGAAAGACUAUUGGUUCCUUUCUCAGGAAACCAACUAUCAGGACUCCCAGAGAGUAUCAAGGAACUGAAACUCACCAGAUCACUGCAUCUGCACAAUGAGAUGCUGGACCCCUCACCCAUCAUGACUGUCUAACCAACCACCUGCCUCCUGUUGACCAGCUCCUCUUCCUUAUCCUUCCCUGAUUCCCAUUUUCCUGCAUAUAGUUACAUUUCUUCCCUGCUAUAUAAAUCCUGGAUUUUAGUCAGUCAGGGAGAUGGAUUUGAGACUGAC